rnacentral:rRNA from 1 species
UUUAAGUGUUAAUUUCUCUUACCUGGGUAGUAUUAGCUAUGAUCUUUAAACCCAAAGAAUUUGGCGGUACCUUAUUCUAUUCAGAGGAACCUAUCCCAUGAUUGAUAGUACACGAUUAACUUUACUUAAUUUAUUUGUUUGUAUAUCUCCGUUAUCAGAAAAUCUUUUUGGAGUUAUAAUUUUCUUAAUUUAUGAUUUUAAAAUAUUUCAGGUCAAGGUGCAGCUUAUAAUUAAGAGGAGAUGGGUUACAAUAUAUUUUAGUAUAUUAUGGACUUUAUGGUGCAAUCUAUAAAUGAAGGUGGAUUUGAUAGUAAUUUAAUUAAUUUAAUUUAAUUGAUAUUAGCUCUAAGGUGUGU